UACAGAGACCUCAAGCGUUAUCCGGAUUGAUUGGGCGUAAAGCGUGCGCAGGCGGCUUCUUAAGCCGAUGGUCAAAUUCUCCAGCUCAACUGGUGAACUGCCGUCGGAACUGUGAAGCUAGAGUAUGGAAGGGGUGAGCGGAAUUGCCAGUGUAACGGUAAAAUGUGUUAAUAUUGGCAAGAACACCAGAGGCGAAGGCGGCUCACUAGUACAUUACUGACGCUGUUUGCACGAAAGCGUGGGGAGCGAAUGGGAUUAGAUACCCCAGUAGUCCACGCCCUAAACGAUGGAUAUUAGCCAUUGGCAGUAUCGACCCUGUCAGUGGCGUUUAAAAUAGCUAACGCAUUAAAUAUCCCGCCUGGGAAGUACGGCCGCAAGGCUAAA
rnacentral:rRNA from 1 species